GAGGGUGAAAAAACUCUCCUUUGUCAAAGACUCACCUCCUUCAUCAAAUACUCACCUUCAUCACCCUCGACGCUUCUCCGGCAACCGACGAUGAGGCAUUCAACUCCCGCAACUUGACGGUGAGUUAUGCCUUGACUAGGAGUGAAAGAUGAGGAAGCACGGAUGACAACUUCCUUAAUUAGCAUCCUCUCCAGGUGAUAGUGAUAGCUAUUUUUCUUGCUCUCAAGUUUGCUUUCUAUGUGUUCUUUGUUCCUUUAGUUAGGAAGAGGCUAGCUGUUUCAGCAUGCUAAUCGGAUUCGUCACAAAAUAUCAUUAGGAGAAGUUUCUAAUGAAGUGGUUUUCAAGUUGCCGAGAGUAUCUCAAUAGUUGAGGGCUCCCCUUUAAUUGUGCUUUGUAACUUUGAAUCAUUUCAGUAGUCUUGACUACAAUUAAGAUUCUAAUAGUGUUAAUUAUAUUCCGUCUAGUAGAUGGUAAGGGCACAUAAGAAUAAAGCAAUAGCUCACCAUCUUGGCCAGCUGAAGAGUUGGAGAAGAACACUUGCACAGGACUCGAGUUGCAGCUAGAGUUCACUGGAGUUUGUACACUUGAGUUGGACAAGCAGAUAUUGUUAUAUUUAUGGAGUUAAAUUGCAAUCAUAGCCUUUUAUUCAAUAACUUUGUAGAUUAGAGUUUGUAGACUGGAGUUGAACUUCAAACUCUGUUGUAGACUUAAGUUUCUAUA